rnacentral:rRNA from 1 species
CGACGCCGCGGCCCCGACGCGCCCUUCUCCCGCGGCGUAUGGCGGCCCCGAUCCGCCGCACCCGCCGCGGAGGCCCCUGCCCCCGCCGCCUACGCGCCUCCCCACCACCGCGACAGCACCGCCCCGCUCCUGCCCCUCCCCAACCCCACCCCCAACCCUGCCUCGGACACCCGCCCGCCCCGCCGCCGCCAGCGCCGCCCGAACCACAACGACGGCCGCGCCCCGCCGCCGCACGAGAGGGCUCCCCCGUCCGCGCCCGCGCCGCGGCAGAUGAGGGCGAACGCGCCCGCCUACGCGCCCGCGCCCGCGCCGCCGGCGGCGGCGGGGGGCGGGGCGGUGCCGCAGCUGGUGCAGGAGAUCCAGGACAAGCUGGCGCGGGGGGCGGUGGAGUGCAUGAUCUGCUACGACAUGGUGCGCCGCUCCGCCCCCGUCUGGUCCUGCGGCAGCUGCUUCGCCAUCUUCCACCUCCCCUGCAUCCGCAGGUGGGCCCGCUCCCCGGCCUCCGCCUCCGACGACCCGGCCUCCGACUCGUGGCGCUGCCCCGGCUGCCAGUCCGUGCAGGACGUCCCCGCCCGCGACAUCGCCUACACCUGCUUCUGCCGGCGCCGCCGCGACCCGCCAAACGACCUCUACCUCACCCCGCACUCGUGCGGCGAGCCGUGCUCCAAGCCGCUCGACAGAGCAGACCCUGCCGCCGCCAAGGGCGAUGAUGAUGAUGUCGCCGCCAGGUGCCCGCACGCCUGCGUCCUGCAGUGCCACCCUGGGCCGUGCCCGCCCUGCAAGGCGUUUGCUCCGGAGCGCCCGUGCCCUUGCGGCAAGCAGUCUAUCACCCGUCGCUGCGCCGACCGGAGCACGCCUGUCACGUGUGGGCAGCGGUGCGAGAGGCUGCUACCCUGCAGGAGGCACCAUUGCGACAAGGUCUGCCACACCGGCCCGUGCGGGGAAUGCGAGGUUGACUACCCUGCACUGUGCUUCUGUGGCAAGAAAACAGAGACAUUGUUGUGCGGCGAGAUGGUGCUCAAAGGGAAGCUGUCGGACAAGGAUGGGGUGUUCUCUUGCAGCGAGGUUUGCAGCCACAAUCUGGCAUGCGGCAAUCAUGCCUGCCAGGAUGUUUGCCACCCAGGGCCAUGCGGAGAGUGCGAGCUUAUGCCAGCAAAGGUCACCACAUGCCAUUGUGGCAAGACAAGGCUGCAGGAGAAGAGGGCUAGCUGCUUGGACCCAAUAGCCACCUGUGACAAGGUGUGCGACAAGAUAUUGCCGUGUGGAGUGCAUAGGUGCAAGGGCACGUGCCACGAAGGAGAGUGCCCACCGUGCUUGGUGCGUGUCGAGCAGAGGUGCCGCUGUGGCUCAUCAGGCCAGAUGGUGGAGUGCUACAAGGUCUCCAAGGAAGAGUUCCGUUGCAACAAGCCUUGUGGCCGCAAGAAGAACUGCGGGAGGCACAGGUGCAGAGAGUGCUGUUGCCCGCUGUCGAAGCCAUUUGCUCAGCAUGAAGGCGAGAGCAUGGAUCCCCACUUCUGCCAGAUACCAUGUGGCAAGAAGCUCCGGUGUGGACAGCAUGGAUGCCAGCAUCUCUGCCACAGCGGUCACUGCGACCCUUGCCGUGAGACCAUAUUCAAUGAUCUCACUUGUGCGUGUGGCAGGUCAUCUAUUCCGCCACCGCAGCCUUGCGGCACACCAACUCCAUCAUGCCCACACCAGUGCAUUGUCCCUCAGCCUUGCGGGCAUCCAGCUUCGCACCAAUGCCAUUUUGGGGACUGCCCACCUUGUGUUGUGUCAGUAAUGAGAGAAUGUGUUGGGGGACAUGUGAUGUUAAGAAACAUCCCUUGUGGUUCAAAGGAUAUCAGAUGCAACCAGCCCUGUGGAAAGAACCGUCAAUGUGGAUUGCAUGCUUGUGCCAGGCCUUGCCAUCCUUCCCCUUGUGAUCCACCGCCUGCAAAUGGAGAAGCUAGUUCAAGCUCUGGGGGCAAAGUUUCAUGUGGACAAUUAUGUGGUGUCCCAAGGAGGGAAUGCAAGCACACUUGCAACGCCCCAUGCCACCCAUCGUCGCCUUGUCCAGACGUGAGAUGUGAACAUCGUGCGACUAUUACAUGUUCUUGUGGCCGUAUCAGUACAACUGUGCCCUGCAGUGCCGGUGGAGCCUACAAUGGUGAUAGUACAUUCGAUAUCUCCGUCAUGCAGCAGCCGCCAAUGGCUCUCCAACCAGUGGAAUCAAAUGGGAAAAGGGUACCUCUUGGGCAGAGGAAACUCUGUUGUGAUGAGGAGUGUGCAAAAGUGGAGCGGAAACGAGUCCUUGCUGAAGCUUUCGACAUUACCCAGCCCAAUCUGGAUGCAUUGCAUUUUGGUGAGAACUCAAAUGCGUCGGAUUUGGUUUCUGAUCUUUUCCGGCGCGAGCCAAAGUGGGUGCUGGCCAUAGAGGAGAGGUGCAAGUUCCUUGUCCUUGGGAAAACAAGGGGGAAUUCUUCAAGCAACAUGAAGUUCCAUGUCUUCUGUCACAUGAUGAAGGAUAAGAGAGAUGCUAUCAGGCUCAUUGCAGAUAGGUGGAAGCUUUCUGUCCAGGCAGUUGGUUGGGAGCCAAAGCGUUUUGUUACCGUCCAUGUGACACCCAAGUCUAAGGUUCCUGCUCGUGUUCUGGGCUCCAAGCCUGGUGUCCCUGUCUCGGCGGCCCAUCCUUACUUUGACCCCAUGGUGGACAUGGAUCCGAGGCUCGUCGUCGCAAUGCUGGACCUGCCAAGGGAUGCUGAUGUUAACUCUCUAGUGUUAAGGUUUGGUGGGGAGUGUGAAUUGGUUUGGCUGAAUGACAAGAAUGCUGCUGCAGUCUUCAGUGAUCCAGCUAGAGCUGCAACGGCCCUGAGGCGGCUCGAUUAUGGGUCUGCUUACCAGGGUGCUGCAAUGUUUUGCCCAAGCAGCAUCACCCAGGCCUCCUUGUCGAGCAAUGUGUGGGUUGGAGCACCGAGAGAUGGAGGGUUGGCCGCAAUGAGCAGUGCCAGUCCAUGGAAGAAGGACUCUCCCUCUGAGCUGAAGCCGAACCCGCCUGCAAUGAUGACAGUGCUUGGUCGUGCCCCAGGGACAAGAUCAGUGUGGAAACCUGCUGUUCAGGUCACGAGUUCAAACCGGUGGAAUGCUCUGGAGUCUGAUGCUGCAACCAGCUCUGGGCCAACCGACAAACCUAAGCCUCCUCUUCGCACUGACAUGGGAUCCAGCACAUCCGCUCAACCGAGUGCCGGGCAAUCUGUGAGCAAGCUGCAGCCUGACUUUGAAGUGGAAGACUGGGAAGAAAUCGAGUGA